rnacentral:lncRNA from 1 species
UUAUUUCUACCAAGAGCCCUUCACUGGUGUGGUUCUGCUCCGUAUUCCUGCACAGCCAGACAGUGCCUGGGUAUCCCAGCUGUUCCUUUAUCCCAAAAUACCCCGGGUGCCUCACUGGAAGCCUCCUGCCUGCACCGUGCAAUGCCACAGAUGAGGACAGCAGGACCCACAGAUUUCCAAAACAAGUUUCCAAGGAAGCCCCAGAGCUGGAGAACAAAGGUUGAACUUUCUUAGGAUGUCUGAGCAUCUCCAGGGGCAUUAAGGACUUCAGGAUGAAGGAAGCAGCUCAGAGAUUGGUUAUGACAUACCCCAGGUCACAAAAGCUUGUUUUCCAAAGGAAACAUUUGCCAUCUCACUCCCAGCUUUGAUUUGCCUGUCCCUGCUCACUUGCCAGAGCUUGUUCUGCAACAUUAACAGGGAAGUUUCUUUGCACAGAGCCAAUUGUGCCCG